rnacentral:tRNA from 2 species
GCUGAGGUUUCGGAGCGGUCAAACGAGAUGGACUGUAAAUCCAUUGCCUAAAAAGCUACAUAGGUUCGAAUCCUAUCCUCAGCACAA